rnacentral:rRNA from 1 species
AGUGAACGCUGGCGGUAGGCCUAACACAUGCAAGUCGAACGGCAGCACAGUAAGAGCUUGCUCUUACGGGUGGCGAGUGGCGGACGGGUGAGGAAUACAUCGGAAUCUACUUUUUCGUGGGGGAUAACGUAGGGAAACUUACGCUAAUACCGCAUACGACCUACGGGUGAAAGCAGGGGAUCUUCGGACCUUGCGCGAUUGAAUGAGCCGAUGUCGGAUUAGCUAGUUGGCGGGGUAAAGGCCCACCAAGGCGACGAUCCGUAGCUGGUCUGAGAGGAUGGUCAGCCACACUGGAACUGAGACACGGUCCAGACUCCUACGGGAGGCAGCAGUGGGGAAUAUUGGACAAUGGGCGCAAGCCUGAUCCAGCCAUACCGCGUGGGUGAAGAAGGCCUUCGGGUUGUAAAGCCCUUUUGUUGGGAAAGAAAAGCAGCAGGUUAAUACCCCGCUGUUCUGACGGUACCCAAAGAAUAAGCACCGGCUAACUGCGU